UGGGGAAUAUUGCACAAUGGGCGCAAGCCUGAUGCAGCCAUGCCGCGUGUGUGAAGAAGGCCUUCGGUUUGUAAAGCACUUUCAGCGGGGAGGAAGGCGUUAAGGUUAAUAACCUUGGCGAUUGACGUUACCCGCAGAAGAAGCACCGGCUAACUCCGUGCCAGCAGCCGCGUUAAUACGGAGGGCGCAAGCUUUAAUCGGAAUUACUGGGCGUAAAGCGCACGCAGGCGGUCUGUCAAGUCGGUUGUGAAAUCCCCGGGCUCAACCUGGGAACUGCAAUCGAAACUGGCAGGGUAGAGUCUUGGAAAGGGGGGUAGAAUUCCAGGUGUAGCGGUGAAAUGCGUAGAGAUCUGGAAGAAUACCGGUGGCGAAAGCGGCCCCCUGGACAAAGACUGAAGCUCAGGUGCGGAAGCGUGGGGAGCAAACAGG
rnacentral:rRNA from 1 species